UACGUAGGGUGCGAGCGUUGUCCGGAAUUAUUGGGCGUAAAGAGCUCGUAGGCGGUUCAGUAAGUCAGGUGUGAAAUCUUUGGGCUUAACCCAAAGCGUGCACUUGAUACUGCUGUGACUUGAGUUCGGUAGGGGAGUGGGGAAUUCCUAGUGUAGCGGUGAAAUGCGCAGAUAUUAGGAGGAACACCGGUGGCGAAGGCGCCACUCUGGGCCGAAAACUGACGCUGAGGAGCGAAAGCGUGGGUAGCAAACAGG
rnacentral:rRNA from 1 species